GCUGUGGCCUUCAGCCUCCCGACGAGCGUUUCAGGGCUGAUGUGCGGGGCAACCUGUUUUUACUCUCCUGCCGCCAACUCCAGGCUCUUCUCAGCAGCGGAGAGCGGCUGCGACUCUGCAAGUUGCUUUGCUGUGAACCGCUGGGUGUGGGGACACGCUCCGCUGGCGCUGGGCCACCGGCAGCCACGCUGUCACCGCCUGCCACCGCCCGUCCCGAGAGGUGACCUCUUGCACACGGACGCAGCACAAGCCCCGCGAUGGCUGGGUGCAAACCCCCCCAGGCCGGGUGCAAGGAUGUGUUUCCCAGCGGUGAUGGCUUGGUGGCCCUGCUGUCCCCCCCUCAGUGGGAGGUGGGUGAGGGCUCGGUGCAGGGUGCCCUGUGUUGGGGACUUGGUCCUCCAAAGUCCCUGGAGAGUGCCGAAAGGAUCCGGGGAGCACCGGGAGAACCGAGAGAGAUGGAGGCAACCAGCAGGUGUCCACGCAGACACUCACAUUCCUGGCCCCGACACGGCCGUGUGUGGAGGCCUGACAUGCCCAUCACCGGGAUGCUGGAGGAUCCAGCGACAAGCGAGUCCUCCUGCAACGUGCGGGGACUGCUCUGUGCCCCCAGCCUGGUGCUGCUGGGAGGGGGGGGUCUUGGAAAAGGUGGAUGAAAUACUGGGGUUGUGGGGAGCAGCUUUCCUGGGCUCGGGGCAGGGCUUUGCGGGAAGCCCGAGGUGCUGGACACGGGCAGCCCCGUCGGCAUCGACGCCGGGGAGGAAGCGGCGACAGCGGGAGCGGGACAGGCUGGUGCCUCCCUGCGCCAGGAAGGAAGCAGCGGAGCGGCUCAGGCCUGCAGGGCUUUCCAGCUCCGGGAGCACAAGCCGUUGUUCCACUGUGGAAAACACAGCGCUUCCUUGGGAUCCCCCAUCCCGGCUCAGCCCUGGAGCGGGAUCCUGCCGUCGCCCUGGGGCGCCGGAUGCAGCCCCGGAGCCGACUCUGCAGAGGUGCCGGCCCGGAGCCAGCGGCCGGCCAGGGCUUUCCCGGGAAGCCGGGAGCCGUGCACGCCGGCAACGCUCGGCAGAGCCCUGUCUGAGCGCAGAGCCAGCAAAACUGAAUUUUAAACAGCCCAGUUGCAAAUCAGAGCCUCCGGCUGACAGCCCCGCUGCUGCUGCGACCGCGAUGCUAAAGCACGGCCGCAAAUAUCGCAGUGCUGUCUCCUUCCCCGGAGACUCCGCGUCCAUGAACGGAGCUGGAGAUUGAUGCUCCCCUUGGACGCGAAUGCUGGGAGCGGGCUAUGAGGGCGCAUUGGGGGUCUCCUUCCCUCCCGGGUGCAGCCGAGGUGUUACUGCCCGCCCGUCCCGCAUCGCCCCGCGUCACCCCAUGUUGCCCCGUCCCACGUGUCUCCGCUCCCUCUGGCCUCUCCUGCACGAGAAAAGGCUCCCAGGGUCUCUCUAGAAGUGCUGCACGGCAGCGAAUUGAAUUAUUUAGUGUCUCUAUUCUUUAAUAAACCAAAUUACGUAUUUUUUGA